rnacentral:lncRNA from 1 species
GAAAACUUAGAAAUCUCAUGAACUCAGUCUAUUAAUAGAAUUCAGUAACAUUCCGUCAGUCCAUGAAACUCAGUCCAGUUUAUCUCAGUAUAAUUAGUUCAGUGUCUAUUCAGUUGGGAGUAAGAUUCAGCACCGAGCGAACCUAAGGAUGAGGGCACACACUGACCAUUGAGGGUGUUACCCUUAGAAGAAAUCCUUGUGUUCCAG